rnacentral:rRNA from 1 species
CCUACGGGAGGCAGCAGUGGGGAAUAUUGGGCAAUGGGCGCAAGCCUGACCCAGCAACGCCGCGUGCAGGAAGACGGCUUUCGGGUUGUACACUUCUUUUCUCAGGGACGAAGCAAGUGACGGUACCUGAGGAAUAAGCCACGGAUAACUACGUGCACGCAGCCGAUGUAAUACGUCGGUCGCGAGCGUUAUCCGGAUUUACUGGGUGUAAAGGGCGUGUAGGCGGGAAAGCAAGUCAGAUGUGAAAACCAUGGGCUCAACCUGUGGCCUGCCUUGGAAACUGGUUUUCUUGAGUACUGGAGAGGCAGACGGAAUUCCUAGUGUAGCGGUGAAAUGCUUAGAUAUUAGGAAGAACCCCAGUGGCGAAGGCGGUCUGCUGGACAGCAACUGACGCUGAGGCUCGAAAGCGUGGGUAGCAAACAGGAUUAGAUACCCUAGUAGUC